rnacentral:tRNA from 1 species
UCUAAUAUGGCAGAUAAAUGCCAUAGAUUUAAACCCUAUAAAUAAAGAAAUAACUUUUAUUAGAA